rnacentral:rRNA from 1 species
UGCAGCCGAGCGGUAGAGUUUCUUCGGGAACUUGAGAGCGGCGUACGGGUGCGGAACACGUGUGCAACCUGCCUUUAUCAGGGGGAUAGCCUUUCGAAAGGAAGAUUAAUACCCCAUAAUAUUUAGAAUGGCAUCAUUUUAAAUUGAAAACUCCGGUGGAUAGAGAUGGGCACGCGCAAGAUUAGAUAGUUGGUGAGGUAACGGCUCACCAAGUCUGCGAUCUUUAGGGGGCCUGAGAGGGUGAUCCCCCACACUGGUACUGAGACACGGACCAGACUCCUACGGGAGGCAGCAGUGAGGAAUAUUGGACAAUGGGUGCGAGCCUGAUCCAGCCAUCCCGCGUGAAGGACGACGGCCCUAUGGGUUGUAAACUUCUUUUGUAUAGGGAUAAACCUACCCUCGUGAGGGUAGCUGAAGGUACUAUACGAAUAAGCACCGGCUAACUCCGUGCCAGCAGCCGCGGUAAUACGGAGGGUGCAAGCGUUAUCCGGAUUUAUUGGGUUUAAAGGGUCCGUAGGCGGAUCUGUAAGUCAGUGGUGAAAUCUCACAGCUUAACUGUGAAACUGCCAUUGAUACUGCAGGUCUUGAGUGUUGUUGAAGUAGCUGGAAUAAGUAGUGUAGCGGUGAAAUGCAUAGAUAUUACUUAGAACACCAAUUGCGAAGGCAGGUUACUAAGCAACAACUGACGCUGAUGGACGAAAGCGUGGGGAGCGAACAGGAUUAGAUACCCUGGUAGUCCACGCCGUAAACGAUGCUAACUCGUUUUUGGAUUUUCGGAUUCAGAGACUAAGCGAAAGUGAUAAGUUAGCCACCUGGGGAGUACGUUCGCAAGAAUGAAACUCAAAGGAAUUGACGGGGGCCCGCACAAGCGGUGGAUUAUGUGGUUUAAUUCGAUGAUACGCGAGGAACCUUACCAAGGCUUAAAUGGGAAAUGACAGGUUUAGAAAUAGACUUUUCUUCGGACAUUUUUCAAGGUGCUGCAUGGUUGUCGUCAGCUCGUGCCGUGAGGUGUUAGGUUAAGUCCUGCAACGAGCGCAACCCCUGUCACUAGUUGCCAUCAUUAAGUUGGGGACUCUAGUGAGACUGCCUACGCAAGUAGAGAGGAAGGUGGGGAUGACGUCAAAUCAUCACGGCCCUUACGCCUUGGGCCACACACGUAAUACAAUGGCCGGUACAGAGGGCAGCUACACAGCGAUGUGAUGCAAAUCUCGAAAGCCGGUCUCAGUUCGGAUUGGAGUCUGCAACUCGACUCUAUGAAGCUGGAAUCGCUAGUAAUCGCGCAUCAGCCAUGGCGCGGUGAAUACGUUCCCGGGCCUUGUACACACCGCCCGUCAAGCCAUGGAAGUCUGGGGUACCUGAAGUCGGUGACC